rnacentral:ncRNA from 1 species
CGCCUUGCGCCUGAAAGGGCGACGGUGUCGAGCCGGAGCGAGAAGUCAGCCGAGGCCGUAGUAGUGGGUGGGAAGGCUGCAAGGCCGCCCCGGAGGCGAAGGGC